UCAUGUAUUUCUGACAUUCUACACACAUAAUUACUCAGUAUUAUUUCAUACACCGAACAGUGAAGUAUUAACUUAAACAGUGAAAAUGGCAACUAGUAAGGAUAUUGGUACAGUAGUUGAAGCAAACAACAAAUUUGGUUAUGAUGUUUAUAAAUUACUUAGCAAGGCAUCAUUGGAGAAGUCGCCCAACAAACCUGAAAAUAUACUGUUAUGCCCAUUAUCAGUGGAAACAAUAUUAGCUUUAACUUUUGUUGGAGCUAAAGGUGUAACAGCGGAGGAAAUGAGUACAGUGUUAAAGUUUCCAAACGAUGCAUGUAAAGUGUCAAAUGGCUUCUUAGAUCUUACUGCACAAUUAAAAUCGAAAGAUGUUAUUAUAAGAAUAGCAAACAAGGUUUUUGUAGAUAAGGAGGUAAAAUUAACGGAGGAAUUUCAACAAGCCGCUGUAAAAUAUUUUGAUUCGGAAACUGAAUCCAUUGAUAUGAAAGAUAAAGCUUCACUGGACAAAAUAAAUGGUUGGGUUGCACAAAAAACAGAAAAUAAAAUUCCUACAAUUCUAGAAGACUUGGAUGACGAUACUGUAUCCGUACUUGUAAAUGCUAUUUACUUUAAUGGAAAGUGGGAAAACCCAUUUAAGACAACUCCAGUACCAAUGCAAUUCUAUUUGAAGCCCGAAGAAAGUAUUGAAGUGCCUGCAAUUCAACGUAAAGGAAAAUAUAGGUAUUUUGAGGAUGAAACUGUACAAAUCGUUGAAAUACCCUACAAGGGUAAGGAAUUCAGUCUUAUAAUUGCUUUACCACGCGAAAAUGGUCUUCCAAGUACUUUAGAAGAAAUUUUCCCAGUGGAUUACCAAAGUAAAUUAGACCGUGAAGUUGAAGUUGAUGUUACCAUUCCAAAGUUUAAAAUUGAGAGUAAAAUUGAUUUUACAUCCAUAUUGCAAGAAAUGGGAAUGACAACAGCAUUUAGUGGUGAAGCCGAUUUUUCUGGAUUAAUUGACCCUAAAAGUGUAAGAACUAAUGUCGCAAUCAGUAAAGUAAUUCAGAAAUGCUUUAUUGAUGUCAAUGAAGAAGGAACUGAAGCAGCUGCUGCAACAGCAGUCGUCAUGAUGCGCUUAUGUGCUGUUGUGUAUGAUAUACCCAAGGUUUAUGCAAACAAACCGUUCCACUUUCAACUUUUACAUCGACCUUCAAAAUGUCCAUUAUUUACUGGAAAAUGUAACAAUCCCACUUCAAAUUCAUAAAAAAAUUAUUUAAAUUUGUUACUAACUGCUUUUAUAUUACAAAUUAUUAUUAAUUAAUAAAUGCACAAUGUUUUGUUGAAAUUGGUAUUCUUUUAUUUUUGAUACUACCAUGAAUUUGUUAUGGAAUAUUAUAAAGUUGAGAUACAUCUCCAAAAGCAUACAAAUUGCAACGGUUUAUUUUUUUUUCUUUAGAGCACUAGAGUUAAUGAGCUCUGGCCUACCUUAAGAUUUAACGGAAUUAGAAAAAAAUAGACCCGGAAAAAAUAGACGAAAAAAAUUUCUGUAAUAGUGUCCCACUUUUGAACACAAGGGCUAAAAACUUCAUAACCCAACCAAUUCCUCUAUAGUCGACAAACUCAAUCCAACCAACUCGUAAUUACAACAAUACUCCGGGUCUAUAAAAUUUUCGGUCUAUUUUUCCCGGAUCUCUUUUCUUCGAUUACCAAUUGGGCUUCAGUUAUUCAGCCUGACUCUAGGCCCCAUUAAUUGUUUUUAAAGAUUUGUUCUGAUAAUUUCUUUAUUUCGUUAAUUAAAGAGUGGAUUCUAUUAGCUCAGACCACGUAUCCAUCAUUAAGGUUAUCAAGUGGUCAUAGUGUCCACAAAUUCUAUGCCGGGUUUUUUCAGACUAAUAGCUUAAAUAUGACGUUAUCGUGCUCAAUUGAAAACGCAGCAUUUUCGAAAAUAGUCGUAGAGACCAGUUUGGUAGACUCGCCAAAAGGAAGCCAUUCAGCAAUCUCAAUGGUGACCUACUGUGCUCUUGUGUUUGAUAUACCUAACUUUUAUGCAAAUAAUCCAUUUCAAUUUCAACUUUUUCAUCGUCCAUCAAAGUGUCCAUUAUUUACUGGAAGGUGUAACAAUCCCACUGGAAAUUCUGGAAAUUUAUAAAAAAAAUUUUAACUAAUAAAUGCACUAUAUUUUUUUGGAA